rnacentral:lncRNA from 1 species
AGGUGACUCCGGUAGAGUGAUAAUGAUAGAUUUUGAGCUCUAGGUUCAACCGUAUAGGGCUAUUAGAGGGCCUACGGUUGAUUACUUUCUUGCACCUGAUAUGAUUAUGUUGAUGCAUUCAUACCUUAUUACUGUUGAGAUGAUGUGGCAUGGCAUAAUUAAUAUGAGAAAUGUUGAGAUGACAUGGCAUGGCAUGAUUGAUAAAGAGAUAAUGUUGAGAUAGUAAAAAAUGAAGUUUUGAGAAUAUAUAUGUAUAUUUAUAUUUUACAUUUCUGGGAAAGUAUACAGGUUUUACGGAGAGGGGUUACAACGUUUUGAGAAAUGUUUGGAUUUGGAAAAGAAUUGUUUUACUGACCCACUCAAUUUUGGUUUUGCGCCCCUCCAGGUUCAGGAAUCACAAAGGUGUGGUGACUACGAGGAAUUCGACGGUGUUCUGACAGAUUGGACAAAAUUAGGACUCACCUUCGGGUGUAUCAACUUAUAAAUUAUAUCUUAAAGCUUCCGUACUGUGCAAAUGGUUACGUCACUCUCACGUGACGGCCUCAGAACACCGUCGAAUUCCUCGUAGUCACCACACCUUUGUGAUUCCUGAACCUGGAGGGGCGCAAAACCAAAAUUGAGUGGGUCAGUAAAACAAUUCUUUUCCAAAUCCAAACAUUUCUCAAAACGUUGUAACCCCUCUCCGUAAAACCUGUAUACUUUCCCAGAAAUGUAAAAUAUAAAUAUACAUAUAUAUUCUCAAGACUUCAAGUCGUUAACUCAACAUUUUCAUACAAUUAUGCCAUGCCACAUCAUCUCAACAUUUCUCAUAUUAAUUAUGCCAUGCCACAUCAUCUCAACAGUAAUAAGGUAUGAAUGCAUCAACAUAAUCAUAUCAGGUGCCAGAAAGUAAUCAAUCGUAGGCCCUCUAAUAGCCCUGUACGGUUGAACCUAGAGCUCAAAAUCUAUCAUUCUCACACUCUGCCGGAGUCACUCCGCGUGACCUGUACGGCCUUCUGCACAUAAGUUACGCUCUAGUGCUUCUCAUAAUCAUCUGUGCACAUAAUCUAAGGUCACCCACCAGUCGGAAUCUCACUAACACUCUCCCGACUGGCCUGUCGUACCCACUCCGCGUGGACUGUACGACUAGCAUCUACUUGGAUCCAAGACGAGCGUGCGAUGCGGUGAAUACUAUAAGCACUAAACUAUGGUGCAGGAUUUGAGCUCAAUAUACAUCAACAUCAUCAUAACAGAAAUAAAUACUCACAUGUGCGUCCACCGCACCAUUUCAUACAUAUGCAUCAUAAAUCAAUUCUUACCCGUGCGUCCACCGCACCAAUUCAUACAUAUGCAUCAUAAAUCAAUUCUUACUUGUGCGUCCACCGCACCAAUUCAUACAUAUGCAUCAUAAAUCAAUUCUUACCUGUGCGUCCACCGCACUAAUUCAUACAUAUGCAUCAUAUAUUAAUUCAUGCAUGGCAUUUCAACUCACAUUUCUAAAUACUUUUCAUAUCAAUUCUAUGCAUGGUAUUUCACUUCCCGUUUUUCCACAUAACUCAUAUGCAUUUCAUUUUAAACAUAUUUUCAUUUCAAUUCAAUUUUUGGGAAACGUCAAGUAUAUAUAUAUACGGAAAACAAAACUGCCCACUCACCUGGAGUUCGUCCAACAACUCCCUAGCACCACACAUCAAGGCGUCACGACGAUCGCCGCCUAGAAUAGUAAUCAAAUCCAACCUCAGAAUUCAUAGUGAUAGAAUAUAUAACUUAUAUAAAAUACGUCACUACGUAGUUCGAUCCGGAAGAUCUGCCACUCAGAUUUUAAAUCCAUAACUUCCAGAGGUCCACAAUAUAUCUCUAGGAUAACAUCCUAAAAUUUCAUUUCCAUCCAACGGUCGGAUCUCCGUCAAUUUCCAAAAAUAAGUGACGGUUAACAUUUUAUAUUAUGGACUUACAAUUCCAAUUCCGGAAGAUCCGUAACUCGGAUUCCCAAUCCGUAAGUUCCAAUAAUCCUCAAAUAUUACGUAUUACAACGUAUCAAAGUUUGGUAACGAUCCAACGGUAGGACUCACCUUCGGGUGUAUCAAUUUAAAUUGUAUCUUAAAGCUUCCGUACUGUGCAAAUGGUUACGUCACUCUCACGUGACGGCCAGCAUGCCCUCCUUCGGGACGGGGUGUGUCAGUUGGUAUCAGAGCAUGGUUGCAAUCUUGGACAUUUUGAGAAGUUCUAGUGAAUUCUGUCAGAACUACACCGCCUCGUAGCAAACCACGUAGUUAGAGGAACUUAGUCUCCCUGAUUUAGCGGGUUAGGGGAAACUAUUCUUAUGGUGAUUCAGUAUAUUAGAAAAAUGGACAUUUUAAGACGGGUUAUGAGUUGAAUUUGAAUCACUUAAGAGAAAUGAUGAACCUGAGGGAACAAAGUGACGGAUUAACCAAUUGGAAAAGAUGUUUCGGAAUAUGCAAGUCAAAGGAAUCUUCCUUCUGACAAGGGGUCGAGACGACUACCUGGUUUUGGUUAUGAAUUUGUAUCCUGGUGGAAACAGGAGUAUGAAUUGUUGUCACCAGAGGAAUCAGUCGAUUGAGAAUAGUUUAAGGAAUAUUUAUAUUUUACAUUUCUGGGAAAGUAUACAGGUUUUACGGAGAGGGGUUACAACGUUUUGAGAAAUGUUUGGAUUUGGAAAAGAAUUGUUUUACUGACCCACUCAAUUUUGGUUUUGCGCCCCUCCAGGUUCAGGAAUCACAAAGGUGUGGUGACUACGAGGAAUUCGACGGUGUUCUGACAGAUUGGACAAAAUUAGGACUCACCUUCGGGUGUAUCAAUUUAAAUUGUAUCUUAAAGCUUCCGUACUGUGCAAAUGGUUACGUCACUCUCACGUGACGGCCAGCAUGCCCUCCUUCGGGACGGGGUGUGUCAGUUGGUAUCAGAGCAUGGUUGCAAUCUUGGACAUUUUGAGAAGUUCUAGUGAAUU